ensembl:lncRNA
CGCAUUGCCUGCCAUCAAUGUGCAUAAGGUCCUGGAAGGGGAUAAUAAGAGAGGUCCUGGAAGGGAUAUAGAGGGGGUAUGGGAUGGGUUGGGCUGCCCCACAUCCACAUCAAGGCCACGGCUACAGCCCUACAGAGCGCAUUGCCUGCUAUCAAUGUGCAUAAGGUCCUGGAAGGGGAUAGAAGGGUCCUGGAAGGGACAUAGAGGGGGUUGGGAGGGUCCUGGAAGGGGAUAGAGUGGGUUGGAUGGGAUAUAGAGUGGGUUGGGAGGGUCCUGGAAGGGGAUAGGAAGGGUUGGGAGGGUCUUGGAAGGGGAUAGGAAGGGUUGGGAGGGUCCUGGAAGGGCUUAGGGUGGGAUGGAAGGGUCCUGGAAGGGUGUAGGAUGGGUUGGAAGGGUCUUGGAAGGGGAUGGAAAGGUCCUGGAAGGGGAUAGGAUGGGGGUUGGGAGGGUAUAGGAUGGGUUGGGAAGGUCCUGGAAGGGGAUAGAGUGGGUUGGAAGGGACCUGGAAGGGGAAAGGAUAGAUUGGAAGGGUCCUGGAAGGGUGUAGAGUGACUUGAGAGGGUCCUGGAAGGGAAUAGAGUGGAUUGGGUUUGACAUAGAGGGGGUUGGAAGGGACCUGGAAGGGGUUAGGAUGGGUUGGGAGGGUCCUGGAAGGGAAUAGAGUGGGUUGGGAGGGACUUAGAGGGGGUUGGGAGGGUCCUGGAAGGGACAUAGAGGGGGUUGGGAGGGUCCUGGAAGGGUCAUAGAGGGGGUAUGGGAUGGGUUGGGCUGCCCCACAUCCACAUCAAGGCAACGGCCACGGCCCUACAGAGCGCAUUGCCUGCCAUCAAUGUGCAUAAGGUCCUGGAAGGGGAAAGGAUGGGUCCUGGAAGGGACAUAGAGGGGGUAUAGGAUGGGUUGGGAGGGUCCUGGAAGGGAAUAGAGUGGGUUGAAAGGGCUUAGAGUGGGUUGGGAGGGUGUAGAGUGGGUUGGAAGGGUCUUGGAAGGGGAUAGGAUGGGAGUUGGGAGGGUAUAGGAUGGGUCCUGGAAGGGACAUAGAAUGGGUUGGGAGGGUGUAGAGUGGGUUGGGAGGGUCCUGGAAGGGAAUAGAGUGGGAUGGGAGGGUCCUGGAAGGGCAUAAGAUGGAUUGGAAGGGUCCUGGAAGGGAAUAGUGUGGGUUGAGAGGGACAUAGAGUGGGUUGGAAGGGUCCUGGAAGGGGAAAACGGACGUUGGGAGGGUCCUGGAAGGGAAUAGAGUGAGUUGGAUGGGAUAUAGAGUGGGUUGGGAGGGUCCUGGAAGGUUGAUAGUUGCCCUAUAAAGGUCCUGGAAGGUUCAUAAAGGUCCUGGAAGGUUCAUAGUGACCCUAUAAAGGUCCCGGAAGCUUCAUAGUGGCCCUAUAAGGGUUCUGGAAGGUUCAUAAAGGUCCUGGAAGGUUCAUAGUGACCCUAUAAAGGUCCUGGAAGGUUCAUAGUCGCCCUAUAAAGGUCCUGGAAGGUUCAUAAAGGUCCUGGAAGGUUCAUAGUGGCCCUAUAAAGGUCCUGGAAGGUUCAUAAAGGUCCUGGAAGGUUCAUAGUGCCGCUAUACAAGGUCCUGGAGGUUCAAAAGGUCC